CCCAUCGGCGGGCGCAUCGCCAUGCUCCGGACCAUCUCCAAGCUCCGGGAGGCGGCGGGGCCGCUCGCCUCCGCCGCAGUCCGGCGAUGCUCCGGCGGGCCCCGGAUCCACGCCGACGCCAAUUGCCCGCGCUGCACCGCGCACAUCUCCGUCCAGUUCUCCCUGCAGCCCCUCCCGCCGGCCGCGGCCUGCGGCGCCGAGGGCGCGGGCGCCCACCCGCACCACCACGACGGCGCCAGCGUCUGCCCGACGUGCCGCGGGGCCUUCCUAUUCCGCGCCCACCGGAUCGACCCCAUGUGGGGCGCGUUCCUCGAGAUCCCCGGCGGCGUCGCGGGCGACGACGGCGAGGACGCGCCCAGGGGCGACCUAUCCCGGAUCAAGAGGUGGAUUGCGGAGCGCCCGCCGGACGACUGGCCUCCGAUGCCGCCGCAGGCUCCCCCGAUGCAGAUGCCGCCGCAGGUCCCCCCAACCCGACGUAAGCAGGGGAGGAGGAGAGGGAGGGAGGAAGGAGGCGGCGGCGGUGGCGGUGGCGGCAACGGUAACGGAGGGGACUCCUCGGGCGGGGAGGGUACGAGCGCGGCGCCCAAGAGGGAGUGGUGGGGAGGCGCCACCCUGGGGGAGGAGCUCCCGACGCCGCGGGAGAUGUGCCGGAGACUCGAUGAAUUCGUCAUCGGGCAGGGCAAGGCUAAAAAGGUUCUAUCAGUAGCCGUAUACAACCACUACAAGAGAGUAUAUAACGCAACUGUACAGAAAGGAUCUGCGGACAAUUCUGGGUGUCCAGACGCUGCAAAUGAUGAUCACGAUAAUGUAGAGAUAGAUAAAAGCAAUGUACUUCUGAUGGGUCCAACUGGCUCAGGAAAAACAUUGCUUGCAAAAACAUUAGCACGCAUUGUAAAUGUACCAUUCGUUAUAGCUGAUGCGACAUCAUUAACACAGGCUGGAUAUGUAGGUGAAGAUGUAGAGUCAAUACUGCAGAAGUUACUGGUGGAGGCCGAAUAUAAUGUUCAAGCUGCCCAGCAAGGAAUAGUGUACAUAGAUGAAGUAGAUAAAAUAACAAAGAAGGCAGAGAGUGCAAAUGUUAGUAGAGAUGUAUCUGGUGAAGGUGUUCAACAGGCUUUGUUAAAAAUCCUAGAAGGAACUGUUGUCACCAUUCCUGAAAAGGGAUCUCGCAAAAAUUCUCGCAAUGAUAGUAUACAGAUAGACACCAAAGACAUUCUUUUCAUAUGUGGUGGUGCUUUUGUAGAUUUGGAGAAGACUAUUUCUGAAAGACGACAAGAUUCAUCUAUAGGAUUUGGGGCACCCAUUCGUACAAACAUGAGAAGUUCAGGAGUGACCAGUCCAACGAUCACGUCAUCUUUGUUAGAAUCUGUUGAGAGUGGAGAUCUUGCAAAGUUUGGCCUAAUACCAGAGUUCAUUGGACGCUUGCCCAUUCUAGUUAGUUUGGCAGCUCUCGACGAAGAUCAGCUUGUUCAGGUUCUUACAGAACCAAAGAAUUCACUUUCGAGACAAUACAGGAAAAUGUUUAGCCUGAACAAUGUUAAGCUGCACUUUACUGAUGGUGCACUGCGAAUAGUAGCAAAGAAGGCCAUAGUCAAAAACACUGGUGCACGUGGUCUAAGAGCCCUCUUAGAGACCAUUCUACUGGAGGCCAUGUACGAGAUCCCUGACGAGAAAGCAGGAAAUGAGCGAGUAGAUGCUGUUGUGGUGGACGAGGAGGCCAUUGGUUCCAUUGACAGGCCCGGGUGCGGGGCUAAAAUUCUUCGGGGGGACGGCGCAUUGGCGCAGUACAUAAUAAGAAAUAACAUUCCGAAUUCACCGGAAACUAACGAGGCUUUGGCGGGGGAGCUCGAAGACGCGUACAUGCUGUCAAGAAUUGUUAGCUUGUGAUUAACCUUACAGACACCGUAUAUUAUGUAAAAUGUCCUCUACUCACACCCAGUCAAUUUAACCAAUUUUCCUGUCAUCUAUGUUAAAGUUUGCGGUGAGGUCCGACGAGUGGAGAUCCGGCCGGCGCGCCAUUUGUUGUAAUUGUUGAUGUAAACAGGAGUUGCCUUUUGAUCGAGCAACCACCCUGCUAUAAGCAAAAUGUUUCUCAUUCUUUCUUUCUGGUGCCCCCCAGCCGGGCGGGCAGCUAGCUUAUAGUUGUUGUUGGCAAAGGUGUACACAUCAAUCAGCCUCCUCACAGUUAUAAUAAGCAGGCGCAGUUUGCCCAGUGGCGUACAGGUUUCAACUUUCAAGCAUUGUCUGUGAAAGAACAUCCUGAUGUUUGUCCUGCAGUAUCUACAUCUGUUCAAGCCUGUCGUUCUGGGAUGCUGUGAUUUCUUCAAGGAAAGCCGUACGAUUCAAAUUUGAACUAAAACCAUGACAAGAAUUAUGGAACGUAGGGACUACUUUUCAUGAUCACUAUCAUAUCAACGUUUAAGGAAUCAUGAAUCUUCAGGUCAAUGGUGCUAAAAGAUGGUUCACACCCCCUGCAAAAAAAAAAAGAUGGUUCACACCACACACAGUGGGUCUGAAGUCUCAGCUGGGCAGUUUCGAAGAGAGAGGUGCAUGUCGAAGCGCAGCGCAGCGACCUCCUAACAACAAGCGCAAACCUUGGUGCGGUUGCGUAAACCCGGCGCGUGCACGGAUCGCGAGGCUGAUCGUGCGGCGAGGCGCGGCCAGACGGACCCGUUCAGCCGUCACUCUCGUCACCGUCCCCCCUCCUCCCCACCCCAGUCCCCAGUCGCUGAGAGAGAAGAAGAGAUAUCGAACCCUCCCGAACCUUCGGAGCGCGCACGGGGCGAGCGAGCGAGGGAGAGAGAUGGCGUACGGCGGCGGCAGGAGGGGCUCGUCCAGGUGGGGCCUUCCGAUGGUGAGGUCGGACGCGCUCGGCAAGCUGGGCCCCUCCUUCGGCAUCGGCGCCGGCUGCGGCGUCGGCGUCGGAGUCGGCCUCAUCGGCGGCGCAGGAAUUGGAGCUGGAUUCCCUGGUUUACAGCUGGGAUUCGGAGCAGGCGCUGGAUGUGGAAUAGGAAUAGGCUUUGGCUACGGUUUUGGAAAGGGGAUUGCAUAUGACGAGAACGGAAAAUAUUCAAACAUCAGGAGAUCAUUUCAGAACACCGGGAGCCUUCCUUACGAUCAGGAGUUUGAUAUCCUGUUUGACGAGGUGAUGGAGAGCACCAGGAAGCUGAUCAAAGCGACGACAAAGGAGAUCGACAAGUGGAGGCGUAUGUAGCGCGAACAUCACACCACAUGAACAAACAGGGAUUCAGCGAGAUACGCCGUCAGUAUUCUACCCUCGUGAAGGAUCAAUUUCGUCAAGGCAUGUGCGAGGGUGCGAGCAUCAUGUGACCGCGACGCCGUUCCCGCACCACCGGAAUUGCGUGGCGUCGCUGUCGGUACUCGGUAGCAUAUAUUGUUCGUCUGUAGAAUCGCUGUUUCGCAUUGAAAUACUCGGGCCUUGCGCAGCAUCGCCUCAAAUCAAAUCUUUCUCCGUGUCGUUAAUCAUGCCGUCUGUAUUUAAUUUCCUGAUUAGUAGUCAACGUCACCUCGCUGGAGUCACUGCUGUUCGUACUUCUUUCUGGGGCAUCAUUGUUAAGCAAGAUUUGCGUUCCU
rnacentral:rRNA from 1 species